GAGAGACUAUUGGAAAAUAGCAGCAUGAAUCCAAGCCAAAGUUGCUAAUUCUGGCUGGUCUUUGCCUUUCUUGGUUCCAACUGAAGCUACAUUUUGUUUGAAAACAUGGAACUCAGACAUAAGGAAAAACGAACUAGAUUAUGAAGAUUUCCAUUCAUUAGUAUGACCUAAUAUAACUGAGUUUUGCACAGUGCAAGGACAGGAUAUUCCCCACCACCACAUUUUUGUUGUUGUUGUUGUUGCUUUUUUUUUGGUCUGUUUUGUAUGUUUCUUAUUCAUAUUGGGUUGAAGAUGUCCCUGAGUGGCAGGCACCUCGAUAUUUGCAUGUAGGCAAAUCAAGAGCUAGUUUCCAAACCAGCCCCUAUGCAAGGCUGGCUGCUUCUUUGUAGGAGAAAUCUCAGCAUGUUUACACUUGCAAUGGCAGAGCAGAGAAAUAUGCUUUCUGAUUUUUGGAGCUGAUAGAGCCCCCGUUGGACGGAAUGAUUGAGACCCUUGUAAGCUGCAAGGUACUUACGACAUCUGGGGAACUCAUGCUCAUCCCAUCGUUAUCUGUGGUGGGUUUCCAAUACAUCGGACCAACGGCCUGCAGAAGAAAAAAUAUCUCAGGGCUUUUAAUUGCUGUCAUAUUAGAAGGAUGCCAGAAGGAAAACACGAGGGAAAAGCCCCAUUCAGAGGUUGAAAUGUGGCUGCACCUCUGCCCCUUCUAUUCUUUCAGUAGAUGGAAACUGAACUCCAAACUGCCUUGGGCACUUGAAGUUGUGUCUUCAUGGACAAAGCAAGGAGGUUGGCUGCAGUGA
rnacentral:lncRNA from 1 species